rnacentral:rRNA from 1 species
GACGAACGCUGGCGGCGUGCUUAACACAUGCAAGUCGAACGGAAAGGCCCUGCUUUUGUGGGGUGCUCGAGUGGCGAACGGGUGAGUAACACGUGAGUAACCUGCCCUUGACUUUGGGAUAACUUCAGGACACUGGGGCUAAUACCGGAUAGGAGCUCCUGCUGCAUGGUGGGGGUUGGAAAGUUUCGGCGGUUGGGGAUGGACUCGCGGCUUAUCAGCUUGUUGGUGGGGUAGUGGCUUACCAAGGCUUUGACGGGUAGCCGGCCUGAGAGGGUGACCGGCCACACUAGGACUGGGAUACGGCCCAGACUCCUACGGGAGGCAGCACUGGGGAGUAGUGCACAAUGGGCGGAAGCCUGAUGCAGCAACGCCGCGUGGGGGAUGACGGCCAUCGGGUUGUAAACCGCUGUCGCCUGAGACGAAGCGUUAGUGACGGUAAUGGGUAAAGAAGCACCGGCUAACUACGUG